CUGUGAGUUCGAAGAGUAGGGCGGGACACGUGGUAUCCUGUCUGAAUAUGGGGGGACCAUCCUCCAAGGCUAAAUACUCCUGACUGACCGAUAGUGAACCAGUACCGUGAGGGAAAGGCGAAAAGAACCCCGGCGAGGGGAGUGAAACAGAACCUGAAACCGUGUACGUACAAGCAGUGGGAGCCUCUUUAUGGGGUGACUGCGUACCUUUUGUAUAAUGGGUCAGCGACUUAUAUUCUGUAGCAAGGUUAACCGUAUAGGGGAGCCGCAGGGAAACCGAGUCUUAACUGGGCGUUAAGUUGCAGGGUAUAGACCCGAAACCCGGUGAUCUAGCCAUGGGCAGGUUGAAGGUUGGGUAACACUAACUGGAGGACCGAACCGACUAAUGUUGAAAAAUUAGCGGAUGACUUGUGGCUGGGGGUGAAAGGCCAAUCAAACCGGGAGAUAGCUGGUUCUCCCCGAAAGCUAUUUAGGUAGCGCCUCGUGAACUCAUCUUCGGGGGUAGAGCACUGUUUCGGCUAGGGGGUCAUCCCGACUUACCAACCCGAUGCAAACUACGAAUACCGAAGAAUGUUAUCACGGGAGACACACGGCGGGUGCUAACGUCCGUCGUGAAGAGGGAAACAACCCAGACCGCCAGCUAAGGUCCCAAAGUCAUGGUUAAGUGGGAAACGAUGUGGGAAGGCACAGACAGCCAGGAUGUUGGCUUAGAAGCAGCCAUCAUUUAAAGAAAGCGUAAUAGCUCACUGGUCGAGUCGGCCUGCGCGGAAGAUGUAACGGGGCUAAACCAUGCACCGAAGCUGCGGCAGCGACACUAUGUGUUGUUGGGUAGGGGAGCGUUCUGUAAGCCGUUGAAGGUGGCCUGUGAGGGUUGCUGGAGGUAUCAGAAGUGCGAAUGCUGACAUAAGUAACGAUAAAGCGGGUGAAAAGCCCGCUCGCCGGAAGACCAAGGGUUCCUGUCCAACGUUAAUCGGGGCAGGGUGAGUCGACCCCUAAGGCGAGGCCGAAAGGCGUAGUCGAUGGGAAACAGGUUAAUAUUCCUGUACUCGGUGUUACUGCGAAGGGGGGACGGAGAAGGCUAUGUUAGCCGGGCGACGGUUGUCCCGGUUUAAGCAUGUAGGCGGGA
rnacentral:rRNA from 1 species